UUUGGGAGUUAGAUCGGAUUACAGUAAACAGUGGUGGACUGAGAUGAGUUCAAAUGAUCUAUUCAACAGCAAAAUUUAUUUAUCAUGGAUAUAGGCCUUCUCUGGUUGAUAGUGAAGUACAACUUCCUGUCAUUUUUGCUUCUUGCUUGUUUUGUUUUCACAUACACACCAAGACAGAACAUGAAUACUUUGUUUAUCUGAUUUAAAAUACACUGUCAGAUGUUCUGGUACAGACAGUGUUUAAACUUGUUUUGGCUACAUCAUGCUUCAUGCGAUCCUUUGCUGCUAUACUGAAGUCUGCAUGUUAUUGGUUCAACUGGGUUGCAUAGUAAGGACUCUGACAUAAUGAUUUUAGCCUGGGACAGCUUUGAGAACAUUUUAUUCUGUGCAACACUGUACUCAAGAAAAUAUGUGUUCCAAAUCUGACCACAAUACCUGUUAGCACCUUUAUUUUGGCUCUUGGAUUUUAAUUCUUUGUGAUUUUGCUGUGUUUUGCUGACAUCUUGUGGUUAAAAGUAGAAGUUAUACGCUGUAAGUAUUUCUGAACAACAUUUUCACUCUUGUUAUGAAACUCAUACAAGCUCACUUGAACUGAAAAUACAUGCCUUAAUUUCAUGUGUUAUUGUCUCACUCCUGUGCUAUAAAUAAAUUAAUACUAUUUUUGGAAAAUA